UCCAGACUCCUACGGGAGGCAGCAGUGGGGAAUAUUGCACAAUGGGGGAAACCCUGAUGCAGCGGCGCCGCGUGAGUGAAGAAGUAUUUCGGUAUGUAAAGCCCUAUCGGCAGGGAAGAAGCAAGACGGUACCUGACUAAGAAGCCCCGGCUAACUACGUGCCAGCAGCCGCGGUAAUACGUAGGGGGCGAGCGUUAUCCGGAUUCACUGGGUGUAAAGGGAGCGUAGACGGCCAAGCAAGCCAGGGGUGAAAGCCCGGGGCCCAACCCCGGGACUGCCCUUGGAACUGCUUGGCUGGAGUGCGGGAGGGGCAGGCGGAAUUCCUGGUGUAGCGGUGAAAUGCGUAGAUAUCAGGAGGAACACCGGCGGCGAAGGCGGCCUGCUGGACCGCUACUGACGUUGAGGCUCGAAAGCGUGGGGAGCAAACAGGAUUAGAUACCCGAGUAGC
rnacentral:rRNA from 1 species